rnacentral:tRNA from 1 species
ACCUGGGUGGCUCAGUCGGUUGAGUGUCUGACUUCAGUUCAGGUCAUGAUCUCACGGUUUGUGGGUUCAAGCCCCACGUCAGGCU